AUUGAACGCUGGCGGAAUGCUUUACACAUGCAAGUCGAACGGUAGAGGGGGCAACCCCUCGAGAGUGGCGAACGGGUGAGUAAUAUAUCGGAGCGUGCCCAGUCGUGGGGGAUAACGUAGCGAAAGUUACGCUAAUACCGCAUACGAUCUAAGGAUGAAAGCGGGGGAUCGCAAGACCUCGCGCGAUUGGAGCGGCCGAUAUCAGAUUAGGUAGUUGGUGGGGUAAAGGCUCACCAAGCCAACGAUCUGUAGCUGGUCUGAGAGGACGACCAGCCAAACUGGAACUGAGACACGGUCCAGACUCGUACGGGAGGCAGCAGUGGGGAAGUUUGGACAAUGGACGCAAGUCUGAUCCAGCCAUUCCGCGUGCAGGAUGAAGGCCCUCGGGUUGUAAACUGCUUUUGUACGGAACGAAAAGGUCUCUCUUAAUACGGGGGACUCAUGACGGUACCGUAAGAAUAAGCACCGGCUAACUACGUGCCAGCAGCCGCCGUAAAAC
rnacentral:rRNA from 1 species